UGGGGGGAGUACGGCCGCAAGGCUAAAACUCAAAGGAAUUGACGGGGGCCCGCACAAGCGCGGAGCAUGCGGAUUAAUUCGAUGCAACGCGAAGAACCUUACCAAGGCUUGACAUGGGCCGGAUCGGGCUGGAAACAGUCCUUCCCCUUUGGGGCCGGUUCACAGGUGGUGCAUGGUUGUCGUCAGCUCGUGUCGUGAGAUGUUGGGUUAAGUCCCGCAACGAGCGCAACCCUCGUUCCAUGUUGCCAGCACGUAGUGGUGGGGACUCAUGGGAGACUGCCGGGGUCAACUCGGAGGAAGGUGAGGACGACGUCAAAUCAUCAUGCCCCUUAUGUCUUGGGCUUCACGCAUGCUACAAUGGCCGGUACAAUGGGUUGCGAUACUGUGAGGUGGAGCUAAUCCCAAAAAGCCGGUCUCAGUUCGGAUUGGGGUCUGCAACACGACCCCACCCAGUCGGAGUCGCUAGUAAUCGCAGAUCAGCAACGCUGCGGUGAAUACGUUCCCGGGCCUUGUACACACCGCCCGUCAAGUCACGAAAGUUGGUAACACCCGAAGCCGGUGGCCCAACCCUUUUUGGGAGGGAGCCGUCGAAGGUGGGACCGUCGAUUGGGACUAAGUCGUAACUAAGGUAGCCGUACCGGAAGGUGCGGCUGGAUCACCUC
rnacentral:rRNA from 1 species